GAGCAGAUGAUGAUACAAAAACAUUAUUCAUAGCUGAUGAAGCCGUGAUGCUUCUAAAAUUCGAGCUUUUUAAAACUGAUGCUCC
rfam:Citrus sinensis cultivar Ridge Pineapple sweet orange scaffold00003_contig_457, whole genome shotgun sequence.